CAGGCGGNCCUUACGCGUUGGCUACGACACCGAGGGGGUCGAUUCCCCCGACACCUAGUGUUCAUCGUUUACGGCCAGGACUACAGGGGUAUCUAAUCCCUUUCGCUCCCCUGGCUUUCGUCCAUGAGCGUCAGUUAUGGCCCAGCAGAGCGCUUUCGCCACUGGUGUUCUUCCCGAUAUCUACGCAUUUCACCGCUACACCGGGAAUUCCCUCUGCCCCUACCACACUCGAGUCUUACAGUUUCCAUCGCUGAAAUGGAGUUGAGCUCCACGCUUUAACGACAGACUUGUAAAACCGCCUGCGGACGCUUUACGCCCAAUAAUUCCGGAUAACGCUUGCCACUCCCGUAUUACCGCGGCUGCUGGCACGGAAUUAGCCGUGGCUUAUUCAUCAAGUACCGUCAGAUCUUCUUCCUUGAUAAAAGAGGUUUACAGCCCAGAGGCCUUCAUCCCUCACGCGGCGUUGCUCCGUCAGNUUGCGCCAUUGNGGAAAAUCCCNCCC
rnacentral:rRNA from 1 species